rnacentral:rRNA from 1 species
UACGGAGGAUGCAAGCGUUAUCCGGAAUGAUUGGGCGUAAAGCGUCCGCAGGUGGCUGUGUAAGUCUGCUGUUAAAGAGUGAGGCUUAACCUCAUAAAGGCAGUGGAAACUACAUGGCUAGAGUGCGUUCGGGGCAGAGGGAAUUCCUGGUGUAGCGGUGAAAUGCGUAGAGAUCAGGAAGAACACCGGUGGCGAAAGCGCUCUGCUAGGCCGCAACUGACACUGAGGGACGAAAGCUAGGGGAGCGAAUGGG